rnacentral:rRNA from 1 species
CGUGUAGGCGGCGAUCUAAGUCGGGUGUGAAACUCCCCCCGGCCCCGAACCGGGGAAUGGCAUUCGAUACUGGAUUGCUUGAGUGCGGUAGGGGCAAGUGGAACUCCAGGUGUAGCGGUGAAAUGCGUAGAUAUCUGGAGGAACGCCGGUGGCGAAAGCGACUUGCUGGACCGUAACUGACGCUGAGGCGCGAAAGCUAGGGGAGCAAACG